rnacentral:rRNA from 1 species
UACGUAGGGGGCAAGCGUUGUCCGGAAUCAUUGGGCGUAAAGCGCGUGUAGGCGGCUAGGUAAGUCUGCUCUGAAAGCCCGGGGCUCAACCCCGGGAGGCGGGUGGAUACUGUCUAGCUCGAGUCCGGAAGAGGAGUGUGGAAUUCCUGGUGUAGCGGUGAAAUGCGUAGAGAUCAGCAGGAACACCCGUGGCGAAGGCGGCCCCCUGGGCCGUACCUGACGCUGAGGCGCGAAGGCUAGGGGAGCGAACGGG